rnacentral:tRNA from 1 species
UCGGAUAUGGUGUAACGGCUAACAUGACCGCCUUUCAUAUGCCAACCACAGAAAAUGGUGCGCGGUAGCUCGGGGUUCGAUUCCCCGUAUCCGAA